ensembl:lncRNA
CACCAAUCUAGUAUCAACCUUCAUGCCCUCAGUUGUGUUUCUUUUCCAGAAACUUCCUUCUUCUCAUCCCUCUCUUCUCCCAUCUAAGCCUAAUGAAAUUCCUCCCCAUUUUGAAGCUAAUUUGAGUACACUUCCUCCAUGAAUCCCAUCUGUUUAAUCCAGCUUUCAUGUACCCCCACCCCCUCAUCUUUCUAUUAUCCAACUCUGUACCUGUCACUCACAAUUCAGCUUUAACUGCCUUCAGUAAAUAUUCAACUAUUAGGCCGCAAAUAAGUACCAGCCUCCACAGAGUCGAGCCUACGUGAAAUUAAGGUACAUUAGAGCUCUGAAAAAUGGGACUAAUUGCUCUUUGGAGCCAAAGAGGUGUGAUUCGAAGACGUGUGGGUCCGUCCAACACAUACGCUCUUCAUAUUUUGCGGAACCACCUAAGGGACAGGUCCCAGGGUCUAAGGUCCUGAGUGGCGAACUGUCAUAGAAAUUGUGUUCUCCAAGUAGGGUUAAAAUGAUGCACGGGGCAGGUUCCGCAGUUUUCCUCCUAAGCCACAAGACCAACGCUCCAACGGCGUCUUUGACCUUCUUCGGAGCUUGAGGACCCUCCCCCUCCCUUCUCUGCGCACGUGGAAAGGUGAAAAACAGACAGCCACGUGAGACCAACAUAAGCCAUUUUCGGCGGCUUAGCCGUUUCAAGUCCAGGUAUUGGAAACGAACGCUCAGCUGCAGGAAACCGCGGGGCAGACCCACAAAAAGCCUGCCAAUCAGUGGUUGAGAAACAAAACCGCGACGAACUGAAAUGAGCGUCUCCACCUCCCCUCGGCACAAACACUUCCCUUUUCCUCCUCCACCCCGCCCCACCUUCGCAUUCUCUCCGCCCACCGGCUCCGCCUCUCCCGCGCCCCAGUAGAGUCAGGGAGCACGAAAUGAGGGCAGGGCGAUUCCAUCCGGGUGCUCCGUC